UACGGAGGGGGCUAGCGUUGUUCGGAAUUACUGGGCGUAAAGCGCGCGUAGGCGGCUUUGUAAGUUAGAGGUGAAAGCCCAGGGCUUAACCCUGGAAUUGCCUUUAAGACUGCAUCGCUAGAAUCGUGGAGAGGUGAGUGGAAUUCCGAGUGUAGAGGUGAAAUUCGUAGAUAUUCGGAAGAACACCAGUGGCGAAGGCGACUCACUGGACACGUAUUGACGCUGAGACGCGAAAGCGUGGGGAGCGAACAGG
rnacentral:rRNA from 1 species